GAAAGUAAAAAAGGGAGUUACCCCUCUCUUCCCUAUCAAAAAUGCCAAACAAGGAUUCCAAUCCCUAAAACAAGUUCCUUUGUUCACCUUCAUCAAUGGUGGCGGCGGUUUUGUUCUGGCAAGAGACGGCUAACUCAUAUCGACUACUUCAUCUCCUUCUCCUUUUUCAUUCCUUCAUGUUCGUACUUUCUCCAUAACCUCCCAUGGCGAAUGAGAUCGGUGAUUGGUAUCAUUUAAUCCGCGACGGUAGUGGAACGGGAUCGACGAUGGUGGGACGCUGCACCGUCUGCACUUCCCGUAUUCCUCUCCUUCUCCGGCGGCCCAGAACCACAUAUACGACUAAAGAGAAAGAACCUAUGGUAUGAUUUCGAUGGAGAAGGAAGAGAGAUUUCGGUCACCACCCAAAUGGAAUAUUAUGACCUGACGUCGUGACAUAUCCUGCCGCACUAGAAUAGGUUGACUUUCGGCGAUGAGAGGCACCGCCAGUUUGGAUGAUGAUGAAACACAGGGUUACUGCCGAUAGCAGUAAUAUGUAUUAUCCUAGAGGCUAAUUUGUUGUUAGAUUCCUGAAUAAUGGUAGAACUUGUUGAUUCUUCUUGAACCUUAUGCUAAACAGAAGACUAGCAAAGGUGGAUCAUUUGUGUUUUCAUGGGUAGACUACUAAACAGUGUUGUCACUUGUAAACAUUGGUUGAUUAUGUCUCUCUAAUGAAAAGUUGCGGUAUUUUACUACUUUUGUUCUGUGUUUAUUUCAAUCAAAUGUAAGAAACUAGAAUAACAUGUUGAGAAAAAAAUUCAAGGUUCUGUAGUGUUCUGUUCUAGGUUCAUGUUAUAUGUAUAAAAAU
rnacentral:lncRNA from 1 species